UCGUAUUGGCUUGAAUGCAGUUGAAUUCUGAAUCAUAAACAAGCUGGGAGAUUUGUCUUCCACAUAUUUUUAGUGCAUGCUCGGAGAACAAGAUAAGAGGAGAGGCUUGAAUCUUGAGAUGACAAGGGUAGUCACCUGCUGCGACUAAAGGAAGGAGGUCAAUGAAGCAAAAGGCACGAAAAGGAAGGAGCAGCGCCACAGGGACGAUGUUGUCGGCAGCGCUUUGGAAGGAUUCGCUCCAGAGAAGUUACGGUAGUCGGCCAUCGCCCAGGGGAAGCGGGGAGGAUGUCGAUCAAAACGCCUGGG